rnacentral:lncRNA from 1 species
AGUCAUGUGACCGGCAAUGGCGGCGCUGACGAGAGGACUUGGACCUAGGACACCUAGGUCCUGGGUCCCCCGUGAUGGGGAGAGAAGUGUUGCAUCGCGGAUAGACUGUAUGGGCUGAGACUCUAGGGUUCCAUUUUCACUUAUGAAUCUCGAGGUGCAUCUGGCCUUGGGGGACGAUGAUGGAGGCAUGAAGGGACAGCUGCUCCUUCUUGGAUCAGUCAAUAAAUGGAGGUCACACUAAUGGCCCUUCUUUCUGUUUGAGCUGCAUUUGGAAGUGUUGUGGAGACAGCCCCGUAGCCCAAUGCGACCAGACUCAGGGAAAACAUCAGGCCCCUCCAGCUGAGCCCUUGUGUGAGCCCCGCCCCUCCCUAAAUGCCAGACUUGGGAGCUGACAGACAGCACUGCCUGUGCUGGGUUUAAAAGUCCUGGUCAGCUGAGUGGAAAUAGAAGGAUUUCUGCUGCCAUCAUCUUCCAUGGGCUUUCCAGGUUUGGGUACCCAGACCCCACCUACCUGACCCGGGUGCAAGAGGAGCUGAGAGCGAAGGGUAUCACAGAUGACUGAAGGACAUCGCCUUUGCCAAGGCCCCUGCUGUCUGCCUCUACUAGGACCCAGCAGAAGCCUCUUUCUCCUCUCUGCCCCCUGCCCCCCACACCACACCUGUAGGGGACCUGUCUGACUGGGAAGGGAGUUCCGAGAGGGAGGGGGCAAUCCCUUCCCCCAUCCCCCACUGGCCAAGUGUUUCAAUGCAGUGUGAGCCACUCCCUUCUGGCAGAGGCCGACCUCCAAGGCUCUGUUCUCCCCUCCCCGUGUACAUAUACUCCCGGUUUCCCUGCCCCUCCAUUGCCCUUGGCUUUUUCUGGUAUGUGCUGUGCUCCACGACCAAGCCGAGAAAGGACCUAGGGUGGGGAAGGGAGGGUCUCUUGAUUCCUAACCGCCCCCACAUACUGCUCCACCGCUGAACUUCGGGUGCCGGGGAGGAGAAAUUGGGCUGAUGUGAGCUCCCCGUCACCCGCCAUGGAGCCGGCUGUGUGUGUUCAUCAGAUACAGUUCUCCCUUAACCUUGUCCUUUCUCUCCUGUGUCUCAGUCUCCGUCAGUCUGUCUUUCUCCGCUCUUCUCUGACCCCUGUGAGGAACCUCCUUACCCUGUUCUGGAAUCGCUGCCAGACUGUAGCUUUUAAUUUAAUAAAAAUAAAGUAAAAUAUGCAACUC